rnacentral:rRNA from 1 species
GAUGAACGCUGGCGGCGUGCCUAAUACAUGCAAGUCGAGCGAACGGAUGAGAAGCUUGCUUCUCUGAUGUUAGCGGCGGACGGGUGAGUAACAAGUGGAUAACCUACCUAUAAGACUGGGAUAACUUCGGGAAACCGUAGCUAAUACCGGAUAAUAUUUUGAACCGCAUGGUUCAAAAGUGAAAGACGGUCUUGCUGUCACUUAUAGAUGGAUCCGCGCUGCAUUAGCUAGUUGGUAAGGUAACGGCUUACCAAGGCAACGAUGCAUAGCCGACCUGAGAGGGUGAUCGGCCACACUGGAACUGAGACACGGUCCAGACUCCUACGGGAGGCAGCAGUAGGGAAUCUUCCGCAAUGGGCGAAAGCCUGACGGAGCAACGCCGCGUGAGUGAUGAAGGUCUUCGGAUCGUAAAACUCUGUUAUUAGGGAAGAACAUAUGUGUAAGUAACUGUGCACAUCUUGACGGUACCUAAUCAGAAAGCCACGGCUAACUACGUG